GUAGCAGAAGCAAUAGCAGCAGCAGGAGGUGGUUAUUACGUCCGCAAGUUAUCGCUGCAGGUCCGUCCUUCUCCGAAACGCCCAUCUUUUGUCUUGCUCUUGGACACUCAAUUCUGCCAUGCUUGAGUCAUUACCAGGUCCAGCUCGGGGCGGUUCAUAUCUUUAGGACGACCACGCGCAACACAAACACCAUUUAUGAGCGCCGCGCGGGGUGUGGACAGGCCAUAAAAGGAGGCGGCGGGGCAGUGGGCGCGCGCCGACUCCACAAGAGGGUCGAGGAGUGUUUGGGAUGCAAUAAAAGCGUCGAGGAGGAUUUAAAAGAUGACGAUUCGCCAUUAGGUAAAUACGUCAAACAGGGAAUGGGUUUCAGUGCACAAGGCGGGUCCCGAGGCCGAACACACACACUUUUCAGGGCCAGGCGAAGCGACGCGCGUUAAUAAUUGAGUGUGGCCUCGCGUGACCGCCUGACAACCCCGAGCCGGAGCGAAGACGGACAGACGGGUCGAUACGAGGCGACACCUGUUGGAGCCCGGCGAGGAAGAGAGGAAAAACAAAUUGUACCGAAAAUAAAGAGAAAAAGACAGUGAAAGUACAACGUGACGUCACCGAUGAAGAAAAGGAAAGGAAUGGGAAUGCAGCUUCCGUGUUUCCCCGUUACCUACCUACCUUACCCACCUACCUGCCUGCCUACACUUCACCUGCCCCUUCCAGUACCUACCUGGGCGCGCUAAUUACAGGUCCUCGGCCCCUGCUUACAUCACCGCGUUCUCCUCUCCAACUAACACCCUGCCACGCUUCAUCGCCGCCCUGUUACCGCUGCCGCUGCCUCUCUUGCAUGGCCCCGUCUCAGGUGUCCCCGACCGACUUUACCUUCGCGGCCUCCACAACGGCCUUCCAUGCUACAGGUGCGGCAUUCGGCACGCCCUGGACGCCCAUACAGCACCACCAGACUCACACGCGGCGCCUCUUCCUAGCUCUUAAAUCCUCGUCGUCACUACUUGGCUUUCUUCGUCUCUCCAUGGCCAUACAUACGGUGGUGGUGGCAGAAUUAGUAGUCGUAGUAGUAGUAGUGGUCGCAGUAGUGGUGAUGGUAGUUGUGGUAGUGGUAGAAGCGUCCUCCACCUUUCUCCGUGUCUCCGUUCACUCGUUCCCUCUCCAGAUUUUCUCCAUUCGUCCUCUCCUGCCCGGCGUGGUGGACCCGGGCGUGGGAGCCGCUCGCUGCAUACCACUUCCUGGUCCUUCAACCGGGGAAGCGGGGCGUUCAAGGGUGCAUGUGCCGGCCGUGUGUGUGUGUGUGUGUGUGUGUGUGUGUGUGUGUGUGUGUGUGUGUGUGUGUGUGUGUGUGUGUGUGUGUGUGUGUGUGAGGGGUGCAGGGAAGGGAAAGGGUGAAUUGAGAGUCGGGGACUUUCACGGACGAGAGCUGACUUCUUACUUGUAAACAAAAAAAUCUUCCUUCUGGAUAAUUUGAGAUGCGAGCUUGCGUAGGUAGGAAGGAAAGGGAGACCACAGCGGCCUAGAUAUAGGAAGGCUGAGCCGGUGGAUGGUUUUCGUCAAGAGCUUUCUCUCCAUAUAAAUUCCUGGCCUGUAUAUGAAUUUCUCUCUUUUCCUAGUCACGGGCGAGGGCGCUUUUGGAAUCUGUGUGUGUGUGUGUGUGUGUGUGUGUGUGUGUGUGUGUGUGUGUGUGUGUGUGUGUGUGUGUGUGUGUGUGUGUGUGUGUGUGUGGCUGCAAUGUUGCGUUGAAGAGGUCAAGUCCCGUGUCGCAAUGCUUUCGUAUCUCACAAUAAAUAUUUCUAUGGGGGCGAAAAUGAAAUGAAAUGGGUUCUCUUGAGUGUUUCUUUCUCGUUCGUGGUUCAGAAACACCGUCAAAUUAUCACUAGACUCAUAAAGCUGUCCAGAAAAUAACCACAACUUCUCCGAAAGCCUUGUGAAAUGUGGAUAUGCAAGCCCCGAAUGUUUGAGAAUGUGGGGCUCAGGAUUCUUUGUGUUGUGGAGAUGAAAUGGGUUCCUUGCGUGUUUCUUUCUCGUUCGUGGUUCAGAAACACCGUCAAAUUAUCACUAGACUCAUAAAGCUGUCCAGGAAAUACCCACAACCUCUACGGAAGCCUUGUGAAAUGUGGAUAUGCAAGCCUCGAAUGUUUGAGAAUGUGGAGCUUAGGAUUCUUUGUGUUACCGGUGCUUUCCUCGCUGCCCUGCCCCGCCUUCCCUCCCUCCCCCCGACCGGCAAAGGCACUCCCGGAAUUCGUGGGAUUGCAAUGUUUCGCUUUAAAGGAGUCUUGGUUUGAUUCCUUCCCUGCGUCAAUGUUCCCUUUGCUGCUUCGCCGUUUAUUUCUUUCCUUUGCCGUGGUUUCAUCGAGAGUCCUGCAUGGUUACCGAUGGCUUACAGUAGUUUUCAUUAAUACCUUCCCUGCGUCAUUGUGUCCGCUGCUCCGCCCUUCCUCCCUUCGCCUUGUGGUUUCAUUGGGAGUCAUGGGUUAUUACGGAUGGAUCCAUGAAUCUGUGUGACUGCCAUGUUGCGUUAGGAUGCUCUGAUGUUUCCCUGGCCGCCCCACAUUGCCUACCCCCCGAACCCCACGGUCCCCACUCCGCCCCGCCCCGCCUUGGUUUCGUCGGGUGACUGGCGUGAACGGCGAUGGCUUUGUUGCGCCGCCUCGUCGAUAGUGGGUCGUUGGCCUGGCAGGUGUGGCGACAGGUAACAUAUCCUUGACAUGGUUAGAUUGCGGGCGGCUUAGCUAAGGUCACUCACCCGGCUCAAUUUUGCUCCCUUAGAUAUUUUUUUUUUGUGUAAGGGGGUCAUCUGUUUACUUUUUUUUUUUGUGUGUAAGGGGGUCAUAUGUUUACUUUUUUGUGUGUGUAAGGGGGUCAUCUGUUUACUUUUUUUUUUUUGUGUGUGUGUGUACAUAUGUAUCAUUGUUCAUCUUACGCAUCUGAUGUACGCUUGGAUGAUAAUGGUUAUGAUAUUGGUAAUUAUUAUAAUGAUACUGCUACUACUACUACUACUUCUACUGCUACUACUACUGCUACUACUAUAAAUUGAAACGA